rnacentral:rRNA from 1 species
CUCUUGCCCUCCCCUUAUAAGAGGUCCCGCCUGCCCUGUGACUAUAUGUUUAACGGCCGCGGUAUUUUAACCGUGCGAAGGUAGCGUAAUCACUUGUCUUUUAAAUGAAGACCUGUAUGAAUGGCAUCACGAGGGCUUAACUGUCUCCCCCCUCCAGUCAAUGAAAUUGACCUCCCCGUGCAGAGGCGGGGAUUAAAACAUAAGACGAGAAGACCCUGUGGAGCUUAAGACCUAAUAUAAUUUAUGUUUAGUACACUAAAAUAACAGCUAAAACUCAAUAAUAAUUAUAGAGGUGUCUUUGGUUGGGGCGACCGCGGGGUACAACAAAACCCCCACGUGGAUUGGGAGAAUUACUCCUAGCACCCAGAGCCGCUACUCCAAGUAACAGAAUUUCUGACUUUAUGAUCCGGUAUAACCGAUCAACGGACCGAGUUACCCCAGGGAUAACAGCGCAAUCCUCUCUCAGAGCCCAUAUCGACGAGGGGGUUUACGACCUCGAUGUUGGAUCAGGACAUCCUAAUGGUGCAGCCGCUAUUAAGGGUUCGUUUGUUCAACGAUUAAAUCCAACG